rnacentral:lncRNA from 1 species
UCGAUCUGACUUUGAGUUUUGAAAACUCAAACGAUGCCAUCGACACUUGAACACCUGAGCUGGGCCAAAAUUCCUUCAGACCUCGAGUUUGAACCCUAAACUCCGAGAUUCAAAAGAUUCUUGCUGGAUUUAAAAGGAAUUUAUUCGGGUAGGGGAAGAUAGGGUCAAGGUAAAUCUAGGGUGUAUGUUUGGUGGUGUUUGGGUGGCGCCGCCGCCAUCGGAAGCUAAAGGUGGUGGCUAGGGUUAGGAGAUUUGGGGCGUUUCAGUGGGUUUUGAGAGAAAAUAAAAGUAGACUGACGAUGAGGAGACGAAGACGAAGCCCUGGUGCGGAUUUGGGUUUGUCCGUCGAGUUAGGGUUUUGGGGGUCGAGACUUUGAUUUGAUAUUCGAAGGAUUCGGCAAGGAUACGAAGGAAACUAAAGGUGGAUUUGGAAAAAGGGGAACAAGGGGAGGCUAUUGUGUAAAUUUGGGUGUCAUCGGAAACCGGAUGCCGCCGUAGGCGACUUCCGGGGGUGGCAAGUGGCGGAGGGCGAUGGCCUGAGAGUCUCUAGGUCAGAGAUGAGAGAGAUGAGGGGGGUGGGGGGAUCUG